CCUACGGGAGGCUGCAGUAGGGAAUCUUCCACAAUGGACGCAAGUCUGAUGGAGCAACGCCGCGUGUAUGAAGAAGGUCUUCGGAUCGUAAAAUACUGUUGUCAGAGAAGAACACGGGAUAAAGUAACUGUUGUCCCGCUGACGGUAUCUGACCAGCAAGUCACGGCUAACUACGUGCCAGCAGCCGCGGUAAUACGUAGGUGGCAAGCGUUGUCCGGAUUUAUUGGGCGUAAAGGGAACGCAGGCGGUCUUUUAAGUCUGAUGUGAAAGCCUUCGGCUUAACCGGAGAAGUGCAUUGGAAACUGGGAGACUUGAGUGCAGAAGAGGAGAGUGGAACUCCAUGUGUAGCGGUGAAAUGCGUAGAUAUAUGGAAGAACACCAGUGGCGAAAGCGGCUCUCUGGUCUGUAACUGACGCUGAGGUUCGAAAGCGUGGGGAGCGAACAGGAUUAGAUACCCCGGUAGUC
rnacentral:rRNA from 1 species